UCCUCUUUGUAGGUUGGGCAAUGGUU
rnacentral:piRNA from 1 species